rnacentral:rRNA from 1 species
GAUGAACGCUGGCGGCGUGCCUAAUACAUGCAAGUCGAGCGAACAGAUGAGGAGCUUGCUCCUCUGACGUUAGCGGCGGACGGGUGAGUAACACGUGGAUAACCUACCUAUAGGACUGGGAUAACUUCGGGAAACCGGAGCUAAUACCGGAUAAUAUAUUGAACCGCAUGGUUCAAUAGUGAAAGACGGUUUUGCUGUCACUUAUAGAUGGAUCCGCGCCGCAUUAGCUAGUUGGUAAGGUAACGGCUUACCAAGGCAACGAUGCGUAGCCGACCUGAGAGGGUGAUCGGCCACACUGGAACUGAGACACGGUCCAGACUCCUACGGGAGGCAGCAGUAGGGAAUCUUCCGCAAUGGGCGAAAGCCUGACGGAGCAACGCUGCGUGAGUGAUGAAGGUCUUCGGAUCGUAAAACUCUGUUAUUAGGGAAGAACAAAUGUGUAAGUAACUAUGCACGUCUUGACGGUACCUAAUCAGAAAGCCACGGCUAACUACGUG